CAGGAAAUCUGGCCGUGGCCAAAUCACACCGAGAAUGCCAAUUCCAAAAAAUGUGCAAAUUCCAAAGAACGGGGCAGUGACUGCACCAUUGCCAAAUACACGCACGCUUCUGAAUUCCCAACGGCAGAUGUGGAGAAGGCAGGUCCCCGAGCCUCCCGGGGACCCAGGACCCAGCUGAAGCGCAGCUUUGUGGAGCGCCCCAGAGGACAGGAGCCCUGGCUCUAAGUCUCGCCUGGACAAGGGGAGAAGGGGAGGCUACCCCCACCCCAAGGCCUUUGGGGAUACACACACAGUCACUGGUUCCUACAACCACCACACGGAGACUCUGCCACCCCACAGAGGCCUCUAGAUGGUUCUUGCCCUCAAGGAGCUGGGGGCCAGGAGACAGAGAUAACCCCUACACCUCCAAAGCCUGACCGGAAGGCCGCAGUGAAGGUGAACAGAGCGCCCAGGGCACGAGGUGGGGGCAGGGUGAACUGGCAGGAGCCCCAGGCGGGGCUGGAGGGGAGUGUAGACCAAGAACCCACGGGGUCACCCAUGGGGCUUGAAGGGGGACAGAGCUGUGAGGCCAGCCGGCUGGGGAAGGAC
rnacentral:lncRNA from 1 species